AGGUUUAGCUGGUGGAUCAUAUUGUGAAAUCUGCAGCCAUGAAAGGCCCUCCAUUUACUGCACCCUUCAAAACGAAAUGUUAGCAUGGGAGGGUAAGCUGGAGGCUAAUAACGAAGGAGUCAGUGAAGGAGACCGAUGCCACAAGGGUUAUCUCACAGCCCCAGAUGCUGGAUAAGUUGAAGCAGAAUCGCUUUUGGAUGACAUUCAGGAAGGCCUUGAAUGAUUAUCUUGCGAAAAAAAGACUAUUCUUUCCAAGGGUUUUUUUUCCUCUCGAUGCAGCAAUGAUCUUUCAGGAAUCCUUUUUGAGACAAAGGAUCACUCCACAUACAACCAUACCUAAGGAAAUGCUUUGAAGGAAUUGAGCAGCUUGCUUUUAAUCACAAGAGAGAAAGUACCCACAUGGAGUCAACAGAAAAUGAAAAGUAGAGCUCGUGCUGCGAAUAAUUCCAGCAAGUGCCAAGGGGCUAGUUGAGAAAUAACUUC